GGGAAGAACAGGCUCUACUCCCUCUCCCAAGGGAAAUGAAGCCCUCUCGCCCCAGCCGGGGCAGCAGGGCCGGUGUCUGCGCUCGCCGAUCGCAGGGAACUCCCAGGCGGCUCAGGGCGCUGCGCCAGCGCCAGGACCAAGAUAAACCGGAUCAGGAUCCGGCCGGGUCCCUGCCGCCAGCAGUGUUGUGUGAAGCCUUCCUCGCACACGCACCCACGUGCGCACCGGGACCAGCGUCACCGGAGUGUUUGGAGAGGUGGAGAUGUGCACGGGGAGAGGGGCGAAGGGCUGCGGGGGCUAGGGAAGUGCAGAGGGGAAGCAGAGCUGCCCGUUACCUUGCGAGCACAAAGAGCAGGCGAGGGACCCAAUCUGUUGGAGAUGACAGCGAGGCCAGGACCAGCGUCUGAAUUAGCAUGAAGUGUUGCCAUUGUGCGAGGCACAAUGAGGACCAUAUGUCAGGGCCGGGGCUGGCAGCCGGGGACAACAGAGGUUCGGGAGCCACGGUGGGGCUCGAGCUUCCCUAACCCGAUUCCCACCUCCGGGCUGGAUGGGCUGGGAUGGAGACGUCCCCGGUGAGACCUGGAGGUGCUGGGAGCAGAGCUGGGGGCUUCGGUUCUCCAUCAGCUGCUCUCACACCUCCCCACCUUUUCCUGCUGCCGGUGCGGGGGCUCUGCAGCCUCCCCGCGUCCUUCCCCCGCUCCCUCCCCAUCUUUAUUAUUUCCCCUUUGACGCAUCUCCGCUGAGCCGAGCUGCAGCCGAGGCCAAUUGAUUAUAUGAAGAAAUUUGGAGCAAGUCGGUGAACAGCUGCAACCUGCCCCCGGGGAUGCGCGGGAUCGGCGCAGACAAAGGAGAGGAGCCGCAAACUUGCUUCCCCGCAUGGCACGGGGUGGGCCCAGGAAGCAGGGAGAGCACUGGGGGCUCGCAGGGACCAGGGGGACCGGGGACAGGGUGGGGACGUGGGGGGAAGGGGACCGAGGGGGCUCUCCUUGGGCAGAGGGGCACGGGAAGUGAUGGGUGACUUUGGAGCCAGGGCUGCGCUGAUUUCCCAGGGGGGUGAAGGUGGAUUUAUUGGGUGCCUUUGGAGAUGCUGAUGCCUGGACCAGGUGUCCUCAUCCCUCUGCUGUCACCAGAGGGACGGCACCGCUCGCGGGCUGCUUGUCCUGGCUUAAACAGUGGCUGUGGUGCCCAAGAUGGGCUCGGGUAACUCUAAGGACUAGAAAGAAGCUUUCCAGCCCGGCUGAAGCAGCGAUCCAGACGAGGAUGUUCAGCAUAAGCCCCAUGGCUUUGUUCCUUCCCCAUCUCCAGAAGGAACAUCACCGGGGUGCCCGCUCCCUGCCCAGAUUCGUUGCUACACCCCACCCUGCAAGCACCCGUGUGCUCGCUGCCUGCAGAGCCGGGGAAAAGCCCAGGACCCGGCGCGAGCCCCAGCCCAGCCAGGAGGAUGCUUCCCGGUCCUGAGGUCUCUCUGCCACCGCCUCUGGCCACAAGCAUGUGGAAAUCCCACAGCUGCUGGGAGGAGAUGGUCAAAAGCAGGGUUAGAAAGAAAGAAAAAGGGAAGCCGGGCACUCCGAGUUCAAGAUCUCUCUUUUGCUGUUGGUUUAAUUCAUUUCCCCCUCCCCGACUUCCUCGUGAACUCAUAAAUAAUAAAUCCUUGCACAGUCUGAACAGCCAAGACAAACACACGCUGGGGCACACCGUGUACAAGGGUGGGUGGGUUUGUUUUCUGCCAUGGUCAUUGUUUGCUUUCUAGGUUUCCUUUCCAAAAAGUGCACAACACAGCAAAUAAAUAAUAACAUUUAUCAAUAAAUUAAUUCAA